rnacentral:tRNA from 1 species
GCCUCCGUAGCUCAACGGAUAGAGCAGCGGGUUUCUACCCCGUUGGUUGGGAGUUCGAGUCUCUCCGGGGGCACCA